UGCUUUUGAUGGGCGUCGACCGGCGCACGGGUGAGUAACGCGUAUCCAACCUGCCCACCACUUGGGGAUAACCUUGCGAAAGUAAGACUAAUACCCAAUGACGUCUCUAGAAGACAUCUGAAAGAGAUUAAAGAUUUAUCGGUGAUGGAUGGGGAUGCGUCUGAUUAGCUUGUUGGCGGGGGUAACGGCCCACCAAGGCAACGAUCAGUAGGGGUUCUGAGAGGAAGGUCCCCCCACAUUGGAACUGAGACACGGUCCAAACUCCCUACGGGAGGCAGCAGUGAGGAAUAUUGGUCAAUGGACGAGAGUCUGAACCAGCCAAGUAGCGUGCAGGAUGACGGCCCUAUGGGUUGUAAACUGCUUUUAUAAGGGAAUAAAGUGAGUCUCGUGAGACUUUUUGCAUGUACCUUAUGAAUAAGGACCGGCUAAUUCCGUGCCAGCAGCCGCGGUAAUACGGAAGGUCCCGGGCGUUAUCCGGAUUUAUUGGGUUUAAAGGGAGCGUAGGCCGGAGAUUAAGCGUGUUGUGAAAUGUAGACGCUCAACGUCUGCACUGCAGCGCGAACUGGUUUCCUUGAGUACGCACAAAGUGGGCGGAAUUCGUGGUGUAGCGGUGAAAUGCUUAGAUAUCACGAAGAACUCCGAUUGCGAAGGCAGCUCACUGGAGCGCAACUGACGCUGAAGCUCGAAAGUGCGGGUAUCGAACAGGAUUAGAUACCCUGGUAGUCCGCACGGUAAACGAUGGAUGCCCGCUGUUGGUCUGAAUAGGUCAGCG
rnacentral:rRNA from 1 species